rnacentral:rRNA from 1 species
AUGUUGGGCCGCAUGAAGUGCCUCGUAGGCGGCGCCGUCGACCAGGGCAGCCCGCGGGGAGCCGCCAGGAGGGUCUCGCCGGCGUCCGGCCGCGUGCACAACGCCGCAGCCGCCGCCGCGGGGCCGGGGGGCAAGAGGGCCAUCUGCUUCCGCCCGCCGGACGUCAUGGAGACGGUGCACGAGGUGGCCGUCUACAUCCACCGCUUCCACAACCUCGAUCUCUUCCAGCAAGGAUGGUACCAGAUGAAGAUUAGUGCAAUGUGGGAGGAGGGUGAAAGCGGUAGCAAGACACCUGCUUCACCCGCAAGGGUGGUCCAGUACGAAGCUCCUGAUGUCGGUGCGGACGAUGCUUUAGGCAUUUGGAGAAUAGAUGACGCUGAUAACAGCUUCUACACACAGCCAUUCAGAAUCAAGUAUGCUCGACAGGACAUCUAUCUAUCGGUUAUGGUGUCUUUCAACAUACUCAACGGUGAACAAGAGGGUCCAGCAGCUUCUGCUGUGAUAUUGAAGUACGAGUUAAUAUAUGCCCCAACACUGGAGAAUGGAUCUGAUAUCCAAUCUUCUAGCGCUACAUCUUCAGCUGCUGUACAUGAAUUUAGGAUCCCACGCAAAGCACUCCUGGGCUCACAUUCAUAUUGUCCAGUUCACUUCGAUGCAUUCCACGCGGUGCUUGUCGAUCUGACAUUACAUAUAGUGUACCUGAAAGCUGGUGCAAAUAAAUCAUCAUUGAAGAUACCAGAUCAAGGUUUACGCCCAACAGCACAUCACAUAAUCAAGGCAUUAUUGGCUUCGAGGGAAAUGUUACUUGAAGAAUUGAAGAAAAUCAGUGGUGCUGUUGGCAAAUCAAUAGAAGAUUUAGAUGAUGCUGACUUAAGUCUUGGUAAAUAUGAGUCACUUCAGCCUUCAAAACCAGUCCAUCCUGAUUCUGGUAAAGUUUUCCCUGUAACUACCAAGGGUGUUGGGCAUUUGGCUGGCAUUUUACACGACUUUCUGGAGAGACCCAACGAUGUUGUUGAUGGCACUACGGAUGGUAUGCUGUAUACUCUUUCCCGUGAAGAGUUGUUAGAAUUGUUUGUAACCGUGAGCAGCCAACUUUCACUUCUAUGGAAUGCAUUCUUGAAAUUUCAUAGGAUAAAUAAAACUAAGAUACUGGAUUACUUGCGGGACAUUUGGGCCGUUGACAGGAAAGCAGAAUGGUCAAUCUGGACUAAUCACUCUAAAAUCGAGAUUCCACACCGCUAUUUGCGGAGUAUGAGUGAUGACCCACCUCACCGCCAACACUCCCUCCUGAGAGUUUCUGGUUCAAGGAAGUUUCAUGAAGAUCCUGUACAAAAUUCUGCUUCACGGGCUGAGCUACACAGGAAGAGCAUAGCCCAAAUGAAGAUCAACACGAGGUCUGUUCAAGAUAUGCAUAUAUAUGCUGAUCCUUCACGUGUACCUGUUGUCCUUAUAGAACAACAUGUCAUGGUUGUUCCACAACAUGGUUCAAACAAGGAUUUGGCAUCAAGUUCUUCAGAACAGAAGGAUACUAUUGUGCUACCUAAACUACAAGGAGAGUCUUUGGUGCUGAAAAAUAUCAAUGGUAAAAAAGGUGGACGCGUAUUACGAGCUGUCAUCUUUGUACAUGGAUUUCAGGGACACCAUUUGGAUUUACGUCUUGUUAGAAAUCAAUGGCUUCUAUUGGAUCCUGGAGCUGAAUGCCUAAUGUCUGAGGCUAAUGAAGACAAGACUUCUGGAGAUUUUAAAGAAAUGGGUGGCAGGCUUGCUGGGGAGGCUGUUGCAUUCUUGAAAAAGAAAGUGGAUAAGCUUGCAAGACAUGGAGGCUGCAAAGAAUUGAAGCUUAGUUUUGUUGGCCAUUCCAUUGGAAACAUUAUCAUCAGAACUGCCUUAGCAGAACCUGCAUUGCAGCCAUACUUGAAGAACCUCUACACAUACAUGUCGAUAUCAGGGCCUCACUUAGGUUACUGGUACAGCUCAAAUUCUUUGUUCAAUUCUGGUCUCUGGCUUCUAAAAAAGCUCAAGGGGGCACAAUGCAUCCAUCAACUUACUUUCAGUGACGAUCAAGACCCCCAGAAUACCUUUUUUUAUAGGCUUUGCAAGUCGAAGACACUAGAGAACUUCAAAAAUAUCAUAUUGUUAUCGUCACCACAGGAUGGGUAUGUACCAUAUCAUUCAGCAAGAAUCGAGCUCUGCCCAGCUGCGUCGGCUGAUAAUUCAAGGAAAGGUCAAGUCUUCACAGAAAUGCUGAAUAAUUGCUUGGAUCAGAUGCGUGCACCGUCGUCUGAAACUCGUAUAUUCAUGAGGUGUGAUGUUAAUUUCGACCAAUCUGCCCAUGGACGGAACCUGAACACCAUGAUUGGCAGAGCAGCCCACAUAGAAUUCCUGGAGACUGACAUCUACGCUAGGUUCAUCAUGUGGUCCUUCCCUGAACUUUUCCGAUGA